AGUGGGGAAUAUUGCACAAUGGGCGCAAGCCUGAUGCAGCGACGCCGCGUGGGGGAUGAAGGCCUUCGGGUUGUAAACUCCUUUCGCUAGGGACGAAGCUUUUUGUGACGGUACCUAGAUAAGAAGCACCGGCUAACUACGUGCCAGCAGCCGCGGUAAUACGUAGGGUGCGAGCGUUGUCCGGAAUUACUGGGCGUAAAGGGCUCGUAGGUGGUUUGUCGCGUCGUCUGUGAAAUUCCGGGGCUUAACUCCGGGCGUGCAGGCGAUACGGGCAUAACUUGAGUGCUGUAGGGGUAACUGGAAUUCCUGGUGUAGCGGUGAAAUGCGCAGAUAUCAGGAGGAACACCGAUGGCGAAGGCAGGUUACUGGGCAGUUACUGACGCUGAGGAGCGAAAGCAUGGGUAGCGAACAGGAUUA
rnacentral:rRNA from 1 species